rnacentral:rRNA from 1 species
UACGAAGGGGGCUAGCGUUGCUCGGAAUCACUGGGCGUAAAGGGUGCGUAGGCGGGUCUUUAAGUCAGGGGUGAAAUCCUGGAGCUCAACUCCAGAACUGCCUUUGAUACUGAGGAUCUUGAGUUCGGGAGAGGUGAGUGGAACUGCGAGUGUAGAGGUGAAAUUCGUAGAUAUUCGCAAGAACACCAGUGGCGAAGGCGGCUCACUGGCCCGGUACGUGACGCUGAGGCACGAAAGCGUGGGGAGCAAACAGGG